UCCGACUCCCGCCCGGCCUCCCCGGGACCCCGGGACCCCGGGAAAGGAAGCCCGGCCACUGCUUUGCAGUCGCUCCGGCGACUCUUACAGGUUGUUGCACCGGGAGAUCCCAUCUACGGUGAUAGCGCCAGUGUUGAGUGAAACACAGAAACCAAAUGAGAAGAUGUCUUCAAGGAACAACUGCUAAUGAGUCUGCAGAGUCGCCUGUGUGUCUUUCAGCGUAGUCUCCACUCAGAGCUGAGUGAGUGGCCCCAUUGAUGAGUGACCUGCUGCCGGCUCUGGACCAAAGCUGUUCUGUCCUUCCCACUGACUUGGAACCAGUCUGUAGAACCGGAAGCAGAGAAAAGAAGCAAUCAGACUUCCCUUUCAAUCAACUCGUGACAUUUGACUCCAGAGACAGAGGCACAGUGAAAUAGUUAUCUGACGACCAUCCUCACUUUGAGGGCGCACAUCGUGGAGCUUCCUGUGUGAAGAUUUGGAGCCUUCGUGGUGCUUGCUCAGGCCUUGGACUGAGCAUGAGUGAAUUCUGGCUGUGCUUCAACUGCUGUAUUGCAGAGCAGCCUCAGCCUAAGAGGCGACGACGGAUUGACCGAAGUAUGAUUGGGGAACCAACCAACUUUGUGCACACAGCUCACGUAGGAUCCGGAGACCUAUUUAGUGGGAUGAACUCGGUCAGCUCCAUUCAGAACCAGAUGCAG
rnacentral:lncRNA from 1 species